rnacentral:rRNA from 1 species
AGUGAACGCUGGCGGUAGGCCUAACACAUGCAAGUCGAAUGGCAGCACAGUAAGAGCUUGCUCUUACGGGUGGCGAGUGGCGGACGGGUGAGGAACACAUCGGAAUCUACUUUUUCGUGGGGGAUAACGUAGGGAAACUUACGCUAAUACCGCAUACGACCUACGGGUGAAAGCAGGGGAUCUUCGGACCUUGCGCGAUUGAAUGAGCCGAUGUCGGAUUAGCUAGUUGGCGGGGUAAAGGCCCACCAAGGCGACGAUCCGUAGCUGGUCUGAGAGGAUGAUCAGCCACACUGGAACUGAGACACGGUCCAGACUCCUACGGGAGGCAGCAGUGGGGAAUAUUGGACAAUGGGCGCAAGCCUGAUCCAGCCAUACCGCGUGGGUGAAGAAGGCCUUCGGGUUGUAAAGCCCUUUUGUUGGGAAAGAAAAGCAGCAGGUUAAUACCCCGCUGUUCUGACGGUACCCAAAGAAUAAGCACCGGCUAACUUCGUG